AUGGCUGCUGAAGCUUCUACUCCAGAUUCAAGGGCAGCAGUCCUCAGGAGACUGCAACACUUCACUCUCCUGGUGGAAAUUGAUGCCUGGCUCAAGUGUGAGUCCAGACCCACACAACUGGGAGACGAAGUCUUUAAUGAAGCGGAAAUUCCAUGCCACCUUGGAUGGAUCCCUCACAGGAAUGAGGGCUCCUCAGGAGAAGGUCAUUGCCUCUUAGUGCUAUUCAAGACGAUGGAUGUGUGUGUCACAAGCUGCCUCAGUUUCCCAGGGUAUAGCCUCUCCCUGCUCAACCUCCUUAUUUCCUGCUUAGAUGCUGGGUUUCCAUUUUGA
rnacentral:lncRNA from 1 species